rnacentral:rRNA from 1 species
GACGAACGCUGGCGGCGUGCUUAACACAUGCAAGUCGAACGGAAAGGCCCCUUUGGGGGUACUCGAGUGGCGAACGGGUGAGUAACACGUGAGUAACCUGCCCUUGACUUCGGGCUAACUUCAGGAAACUGGGGCUAAUACCGGAUAGGAAUCCUUGCUGCAUGGUGGGGGUUGGAAAGCUUCGGCGGUUUUGGAUGGACUCGCGGCUUAUCAGCUUGUUGGUGGGGUAGUGGCUUACCAAGGCUUUGACGGGUAGCCGGCCUGAGGGGGCGACCGGCCAGAUUGGGACUGAGAUACGGGCCAGACGCCGACGGGAGGCAGCAGUGGGGAAGAGUGCACGAUGGGCGGAAGCCUGAAGCAGCAACGGCGCGUGCGGGAUGACGGCCUUCGGGUUGUAAAACGCGUUCAGCAGGGGCGAAGCUUGGGGUGACGGUACCUGCAGAAGAAGCACCGGCUAACUACGUG